AUUGAACGCUGGCGGCAGGCCUAACACAUGCAAGUCGAGCGGAGCGGCGGACGGGUGAGUAAUGCCUAGGAAUCUGCCUGGUAGUGGGGGAUAACGUCCGGCAACGGGCGCUAAUACCGCAUACUUUCAGAUGAGCCUAGGUAGGAUUAGCUAGUUGGGGGGGUAAAGGCCUACCAAGGCGAAGAUCCGUACCUGGUCUGAGUGGAUGAUCAGUCACACUGGAACGGAGACACGGUCCAGACGCCUACGGGAGGCAGCAGUGGGGAAUAUUGCACAAUGGGCGCAAGCCUGAUGCAGCCAUGCCGCGUGUAUGAAGAAGGCCUUAGGGUUGUAAAGUACUUUCAGCGGGGAGGCGUUACCCGCAGAAGAAGCACCGGCUAACUCCGUGCCAGCCGCCGCGGUAAUUC
rnacentral:rRNA from 1 species